GGUGUUUGACGAAAAUCCUGGAGGAAAUCAUUACAUAGUGGUUCGUCGAUUUGAUCCAUGACCAGCUUAGUACUGCAGCGCCUGGGGUGAAAGCAUCGAUGACAUCGACCUAGCGACUCUGCAUCAUCCGAGAAUCUUUUGUGGAAGAUGCAUGGGUAUGUUUUGAGCUUCAUGCCUGGUAGAUCUUGAUCUGCUACUGUACAAAUUUUCUCAAGGUCACGAAUCCCCGUCAGUCAAGCCAUGGAAGAAGCUAUUGUGGUUGCUUCCUCCCUGACACCGUCUACAGGGAAACAUCAAUAUCUGCGCCGCCGCUGGUGAGAUGGAGACGAGGACGACUUGAGGUCCUAGCAGCAUUUCUGACUGCAGAACCAUUUCCCGGACGCCCUCCAUGAAGCCUUCACCUAUUGGCUUGAAGAGCAACACCCAACCUACAGCAGCAAGGUGAGUCCUCCACUCUGCAGUUUUGAUAGGGUUCAUAAUUGAGUAUGUGAGUUAUCAUCUACCUUUUACAAAAUUAGAAGCAGUGCCGAUGUUACUCGUUGAUUCAACUUGCUUAGUAGUUACUGCAUUCCACAUAUAUUUACAUUUCAGCUCACUUUGUCCAGUGGCCGAUCAACUUGCUUAGUAGUUAAUGCAUUCUACAUGUAUUUACAUUUCAGCUCACUUUGUCCAGUGGCUCAAAGUAGAUCUUUUGUCCCUCUUUCUAAUAACUUUUUAUUAGACCGAGCUACGACAUUUAAUCUGUACUCAGCUUUUGGUGAGUAGUGUUCAGUUUAACACAAUCAAUACUCUUAUCUAUAUUGUAUUUGUACCUCUGUUGAUUUUAAUGGUUUGUAUUGCACAAGAAAAUA